rnacentral:rRNA from 1 species
CUACGGGGCGCUGCAGUGGGGAAUAUUGCACAAUGGGGGAAACCCUGAUGCAGCGAUGCCGCGUGAACGAAGAAGGCUUUCGAGUCGUAAAGUUCUGUUCUUAGGGAAGAAAAUGACGGUACCUAAGGAGAAAGCACCGGCUAAAUACGUGCCAGCAGCCGCGGUAAUACGUAUGGUGCAAGCGUUGUCCGGAAUUACUGGGCGUAAAGAGUUCGUAGGCGGUCAAAUAAGUCAGAAGUGAAAGGCUACGGCUCAACCGUAGUAAGCUUUUGAAACUGUUUGACUUGAGUACUGGAGAGGAAAGUGGAAUUCCUAGUGUAGCGGUGAAAUGCGUAGAUAUUAGGAGGAACACCAGUGGCGAAGGCGGCUUUCUGGACAGUAACUGACGCUGAGGAACGAAAGCGUGGGGAGCAAACAGGAUUAGAUACCCCAGUAGUC